GGACCAUCAGAUUUCAAACAAGUCUUUCUGUUGGAACAUGAAACGGUACAUAAUAUGAACUCAUAGAAAUCAUUAGGUUCAUGCAUCAUAGAAAAUUGAGAAACCAAGUGUAAGUGAAAAUGUGAGAAAUGUGAAAAUUUCUAGAGAAAACUGGUCAUCUGCCAACUACUAAUCAAUCAACACUAAUCUCCUGCCCAUUAUUAAUUGGCCCAACACGAGCAUGGCUUAACUCUUUAAAAUUAUGGAGUAGCUCCUCCUAAAUACAAAUGGGGUUUUGACAUUUGUCAAAUUCCUUUAACCACCAAAACUGCCAUUCUAGAGUCUAAUAUCAAUUGUUAAGAACUCAUGUGACAAGAAUCGACCCGAAUUCCCCCUUGGAACCCUUGACGAACCCUGCUUCCAGUCCGACAUCUACCUGAUGCCGAACCCAGUUUAUUAAAAGUCCUGUAACCCUAAUUUAAACGGAUAAACAGUCCGACUUCUACCAAAAUUUCGGUAGAGUCUCCCCUAUAAUAGGAACAAUUCCUAAAUUUCACUACCUACGAAAAAGUACAUAAAUAACCACAAUUUCCAACAUUCACAAGGUAAUGGCACACACAACAGCUAAAAUUAAGUAAAUGGGCCUCACGCCCUUUACCCAAACUCAAACAAGCGACCAGAGGAACUAAUUUACAACUUGAGAAAGAAUAAAGAUAGAGAGUGAUAGUAGAACAUUCCUACGAAGCGGACAAUGAUGAUGCCUCGAUGUGGUGGUCUCG
rnacentral:lncRNA from 1 species